rnacentral:lncRNA from 1 species
AACAUGAAAAAAGCUCAACAUCACUGAUCAUUAGAGAAAUGCAAAUCAAAACCACAAUGAGAUACCAUCUCAUGUCAGCCAUAAUGGCAAUUAUUAAAAAGUCAAGAAAUAACAGAUACUGGUGAGGUUGCAGUGAAAUAAGAAUGCUUUUACACUGUUGGUGGGAAUGUAAAUUAGUUCAACCAUUGUGGAAGACAGUCUAACACAGAGAACAUUAAAAUCAUUUAGAAAGCAAUUCAUCAUGGUGGAGCAAGCCAC